GUGAGGAAUAUUGGUCAAUGGGCGCAAGCCUGAACCAGCCAUGCCGCGUGCAGGAAGACGGUCCUAUGGAUUGUAAACUGCUUUUAUUUGGGAAUAAACUCCGGUACGUGUACCGGCCUGAAGGUACCAAAUGAAUAAGCACCGGCUAACUCCGUGCCAGCAGCCGCGGUAAUACGGAGGGUGCAAGCGUUAUCCGGAAUCAUGGGGUUUAAAGGGUCCGCAGGCGGUCUUAUAAGUCAGUGGUGAAAGCCUACAGCUCAACUGUAGAACUGCCAUUGAUACUGUAGGACUUGAAUUCGAUCGAAGUGGGCGGAAUGUGACAUGGAGCGGUGAAAUGCUUAGAUAUGUCAAAGAACACCGAUAGCGAAGGCAGCUCACUAGGUCUGGAUUGACGCUCAGGGACGAAAGCGUGGGGAGCAAACAGGAUUAGAAACCCCAGUAGUCC
rnacentral:rRNA from 1 species